GACGUAGGGUGCAAGCGUUAUCCGGAUUUAUUGGGCGUAAAGAGCGUGUAGGCGGCCAUGCAGGUCAGCUGUGAAAACUCGAGGCUCAACCUCGAGACGUCGGUUGAAACCGUAUGGCUAGAGUCCGGAAGAGGAGAGUGGAAUUCCCGGUGUAGCGGUGAAAUGCGCAGAUAUCGGGAAGAACACCCGUGGCGAAGGCGGCUCUCUGGGACGGUACUGACGCUGAGACGCGAAAGCGUGGGGAGCGAACAGG
rnacentral:rRNA from 1 species